rnacentral:rRNA from 1 species
UACGUAGGGUGCAAGCGUUAAUCGGAAUUACUGGGCGUAAAGCGUGCGCAGGCGGUUAUGUAAGACAGAUGUGAAAUGCCCGGCUUAACCUGGGAACUGCAUUUGUGACUGCAUGGCUAGAGUUUGGCAGAGGGGGGUAGAAUUCCACGUGUAGCAGUGAAAUGCGUAGAUAUGUGGAGGAACACCGAUGGCGAAGGCAGCCCCCUGGGUCAAGACUGACGCUCAUGCACGAAAGCGUGGGGAGCAAACGAGG